UACGGAGGGUGCAAGCGUUAUCCGGAUUCACUGGGUUUAAAGGGUGCGUAGGUGGGUUGGUAAGUCAGUGGUGAAAUCCCCAAGCUUAACUUGGGAACUGCCAUUGAUACUAUCAGUCUUGAAUACCGUGGAGGUCAGCGGAAUAUGUCAUGUAGCGGUGAAAUGCUUAGAUAUGACAUAGAACACCAAUUGCGAAGGCAGCUGGCUACACGAAUAUUGACACUGAGGCACGAAAGCGUGGGGAUCAAACAGG
rnacentral:rRNA from 1 species